UGGGGAAUAUUGCACAAUGGGCGCAAGCCUGAUGCAGCCAUGCCGCGUGUAUGAAGAAGGCCUUCGGGUUGUAAAGUACUUUCAGCGGGGAGGAAGGUGUUGUGGUUAAUAACCACAGCAAUUGACGUUACCCGCAGAAGAAGCACCGGCUAACUCCGUGCCAGCAGCCGAGGUAAUACGGAGGGUGCAAGCGUUAAUCGGAAUUACUGGGCGUAAAGCGCACGCAGGCGGUCUGUCAAGUCGGAUGUGAAAUCCCCGGGCUCAACCUGGGAACUGCAUCCGAAACUGGCAGGCUUGAGUCUUGUAGAGGGGGGUAGAAUUCCAGGUGUAGCGGUGAAAUGCGUAGAGAUCUGGAGGAAUACCGGUGGCGAAGGCGGCCCCCUGGACAAAGACUGACGCUCAGGUGCGAAAGCGUGGGGAGCAAACA
rnacentral:rRNA from 1 species